GGGUUCUUAGUAUAUUUAGUACAGUUGAUUGCAGAUCAAAUAGAUAAUGAACCUU
rnacentral:tRNA from 1 species